UAGGGAAUCUUCCACAAUGGACGCAAGUCUGAUGGAGCAACGCCGCGUGAGUGAAGAAGGUUUUCGGACCGUAAAGCUCUGUUGUUGGUGAAGAAGGAUAGAGGUAGUAACUGGCCUUUAUUUGACGGUAAUCAACCAGAAAGUCACGGCUAACUACGUGCCAGCAGCCGCGGUAAUACGUAGGUGGCAAGCGUUGUCCGGAUUUAUUGGGCGUAAAGCGAGCGCAGGCGGAAGAAUAAGUCUGAUGUGAAAGCCCUCGGCUUAACCGAGGAAUUGCAUCGGAAACUGUUUUUCUUGAGUGCAGA
rnacentral:rRNA from 1 species